GGUCAAGUGAAGAAGCGCAUACGGUGGAUGCCUUGGCAGUCAGAGGCGAUGAAAGACGUGGUAGCCUGCGAAAAGCUUCGGGGAGUCGGCAAACAGACUUUGAUCCGGAGAUCUCUGAAUGGGGGAACCCACCUAGGAUAACCUAGGUAUCUUGUACUGAAUCCAUAGGUGCAAGAGGCGAACCAGGGGAACUGAAACAUCUAAGUACCCUGAGGAAAAGAAAUCAACCGAGAUUCCCUUAGUAGUGGCGAGCGAACGGGGAUUAGCCCUUAAGCUUCAUUGAUUUUAGCGGAACGCUCUGGAAAGUGCGGCCAUAGUGGGUGAUAGCCCCGUACGCGAAAGGAUCUUUGAAGUGAAAUCGAGUAGGACGGAGCACGAGAAACUUUGUCUGAACAUGGGGGGACCAUCCUCCAAGGCUAAAUACUACUGACUGACCGAUAGUGAACCAGUACCGUGAGGGAAAGGCGAAAAGAACCCCGGAGAGGGGAGUGAAAUAGAACCUGAAACCGUAUGCGUACAAGCAGUGGGAGCCUACUUGUUAGGUGACUGCGUACCUUUUGUAUAAUGGGUCAGCGACUUAUAUUCAGUGGCAAGCUUAACCGUAUAGGGUAGGCGUAGCGAAAGCGAGUCUUAAUAGGGCGUUUAGUCGCUGGGUAUAGACCCGAAACCGGGCGAUCUAUCCAUGAGCAGGUUGAAGGUUAGGUAACACUGACUGGAGGACCGAACCCACUCCCGUUGAAAAGGUAGGGGAUGACUUGUGGAUCGGAGUGAAAGGCU
rnacentral:rRNA from 1 species